GAAGAGCGCGGGGACUUAAGGGGAGGCUCUGUCCCCCGCUGGCCUGGUGUUCUCGCAGUGCCGGCUGGGAGUAGGUCGCCGCGCGGCAGGGGUGCUGGUCCAGCCGGAGGGCUGCAUCUGCUUGGCGCAGGUUUUGCUUUAAAGAAGUCUUGCCGGUAUCUUUGGUCCAAAAUGCUUUGCAGAGGUGCAGGUCCCGAGCCGCGUGUUGCAGCCGGCACUGAAAUCCUCGGAUUCAAUCCAUUGUGUGCGCUGGGUUCUGGCCCAGCAAUUCGCAGCUAGAGUUAGGGGCAAAAAAACACUUUCCGCAGGGAGAGCUGGCAGGGUGUGGAGGGGUGAGAUGUCCCGGGUGUGACUCCCCUUCUGAAAUCACAGCUUUAGAGAGCUCCCAAAGUUGUCAGAAUGCAUUGGGUCAGCCUUUAGUGGAGCAGUCAGCAGGGCAGUCGAUUUUGGCCGGCUCUCCAUUGGGAAAGGAAAGGUUUUGCUACUGAAUGAAGGCACUACAGGGCAUGCUGUAUUGGCCUAUUUAAACAUCUCUUAGGGAUAGGAAAAAACAGCAGUGGCACAUAACAACCUGCUUUGCUGUUUCUUAAUGAUCAGUUAGUAAGCAAAGGUACAUUGAGCUGAAGAAAUCUUAUAUUCAUAGAUACAGGGACAGAGGGGACCUGAGCAGAUCAUCAAGUCUGACCCCCUGCACUGGGCAGAAAUGAAUACUGGGCUCAUAUGACCCCAGUCAGGUAGUUAUCUAGCAGCCUUUUAAAGACGCCUAAGGUAGGAGAGAGCACCACUUCCUUUGGAAGCUGGUUCCAGAUCUUGGCCACCCUGACUGUGAAGUAGUGCCUCCUGGUGUCUAGCCUGAACCUACUUUCAAUCAACUUGCGGCCGUUAUUCCUUGUUACUCUGGGAGGCGCUCGGGGGAACAGGGUCUCACCCGUUCCCCGCUGGUCCCCCCGGAAUCAUGGUCAUCAUCAUUGUCAAUCCUUCUCAGUUGAGGAUGAAUAUCUUCCAUGACUGCCAUAUCUGUGGGUCUGAAGAUGGUUGGCGAGGCUGAUACAGGAUCAACAAACUCUGUCACAACUUGGGCAUGCAUAUCUGUGCAGGGUUCCUGUUACAACAUGGAUGAAGUUGCUCAGUCAUUUGGGAUAUGUCCACACUGGGGCAGCAGAGAGAUAAUUUGCAUCUGAAGGACUAAGAUAUGAACAUCUGCUCCUGCUCCAUCUGCCAAAACCCCUGGAAAUGACUUGGUGAGGAUGUUCUGGGUUCCCCUCCUCACAGUGCCUAAAACUUGUGUUUCCAGCAUACUCUGGACUGUUGGCUUUCACAGCAUUGUUGCUGCCUUCUUUCUUGGUUUGAUGUAUGUAGCACAGUGGAAGUGGGUAAGGGGGUUAUUUCCUGGCAGUGAGACUGAGCUCUCUGCUGCUGUGGUGGAUGCAUGUCCUCAGUUAACUUUUUUGCUUUUCUCUCCAUUUAUAAAAUGGGAUUAAUGCUAGAGCUGGUCAAAAUGUUUUUAGUGAAUAAUACAGGCAACAACAAUUACAUUUCCUUGGAAAAAUGGUUUUGAUAGAGUUUUUAUUUUUGUUGACAUUUCCAUUUCUAUGAAAUAGAAAUAUUUAAAAAUAUUAAACAAUUUUCAUUUUAAAAUUAUGAUAAAUACCUCCCUCUUGCCUUUGUUACCUUUCCCAUUUUGCACUGGAAAAAGACAGGAAAAAAUGGGAAGUGUCUGGGGAACACUUUCAGUUUUGUAUUUCCCCUUCUAUCCAUUUUUCCACUCAGAAAGGGGGGAAUAUAUAUUUUAAAUAAAAGGAAUGUGGUGCUAGAAAACCUGUUUUCAUGA